UUCUGCAUGGCGCAAGUCUGACCGCUAUGCCGCGUGAAGGAUUAAGGUCCUCUGGAUUGUAAACUUCUUUUAUCUGGGACGAAAAAAGGUCUUUCUAGACCCCUUGACGGUACCAGAUGAAUAAGCACCGGCUAACUCCGUGCCAGCAGCCGCGGUAAUACGGAGGGUGCAAGCGUUACCCGGAUUCACUGGGUUUAAAGGGUGCGUAGGCGGGUAGGUAAGUCAGUGGUGAAAUCCUGGAGCUCAACUCCAGAACUGCCAUUGAUACUAUCUAUCUUGAAUAUUGUGGAGGUAAGCGGAAUAUGUCAUGUAGCGGUGAAAUGCUGGGGAUGGGACAUAGAACACCCAUUGCGAAGGCAGCUUACUACGCAUAUAUUGACGCUGAGGCACGAAAG
rnacentral:rRNA from 1 species